rnacentral:rRNA from 1 species
AACGAACGCUGGCGGCAUGCCUAACACAUGCAAGUCGAACGAGACCUUCGGGUCUAGUGGCGCACGGGUGCGUAACGCGUGGGAACCUGCCCUUAGGUUCGGAAUAACUCCCCGAAAGGGGUGCUAAUACCGGAUAAUGUCUUCGGACCAAAGAUUUAUCGCCUUUGGAUGGGCCCGCGUUGGAUUAGCUAGUUGGUAGGGUAAAAGCCUACCAAGGCGACGAUCCAUAGCUGGUCUGAGAGGAUGAUCAGCCACACUGGGACUGAGACACGGCCCAGACUCCUACGGGAGGGAGGAGUGGGGGAUAUUGGACCAUGGGCGAAAGCCUGAUCCAGCAAUGCCGCGUGAGUGAUGAAGGCCUUAGGGUUGUAAAGCUCUUUUAACCGGGAUGAUAAUGACCGUACCGGGAGAAUAAGCUCCGGCUAACUCCGUG